rnacentral:rRNA from 1 species
AAUGAACGUUGGCGGCAUGGAUUAGGCAUGCAAGUCGAGCGAGAAGGGUUUUGAAGCUUGCUUUAGAACCCGGAAAGCGGCGCAAGGGAGAGUAACGAGUAGUUAUCUACCCCAAGGCCCGGAAUAGCUGCGGGAAACUGCAGGUAAUGCCGGAUAAUAUCCCCGGAUCAAAGGUGUGAUUCCGCCUUGGGAGGAGACUGCUUUGUACUAGCUAGUUGGUAGGGUAAUGGCCUACCAAGGCUACGAUGCAUAGCGGGCGUGAGAGCGUGGCCCGUCUCACUGGGACUGAAACACUGCCCAGACACCUACGGGUGGCUGCGGUCGAGAAUCUUCGGCAAUGGGCGAAAGCCUGACCGAGCGAUGCCGCGUGCGGGAUGAAGGCCCUCGGGUUGUAAACCGCUGUCGUAGAGGAGAAAGGUCUGAUGAGGAAUCAGAUUUGAUCUAUUCUAGGAGGAAGUCGGGGCUAAGUUCGUGCCAGCCGCCGCGGUAA